rnacentral:rRNA from 1 species
GGUUAAGCGACUAAGUGUACACGGUGGAUGCCCUGGCAGUCAGAGGCGAUGAAGGACGUGCUAAUCUGCGAUAAGCGUCGGUAAGGUGAUAUGAACCGUUAUAACCGGCGAUUUCCGAAUGGGGAAACCCAGUGUGUUUCGACACACUAUCAUUAACUGAAUCCAUAGGUUAAUGAGGCGAACCGGGGGAACUGAAACAUCUAAGUACCCCGAGGAAAAGAAAUCAACCGAGAUUCCCCCAGUAGCGGCGAGCGAACGGGGAGGAGCCCAGAGCCUGAAUCAGUGUGUGUGUUAGUGGAAGCGUCUGGAAAGGCGCGCGAUACAGGGUGACAGCCCCGUACACAAAAAUACACAUAUUGUGAGCUCGAUGAGUAGGGCGGGACACGUGGUAUCCUGUCUGAAUAUGGGGGGACCAUCCUCCAAGGCUAAAUACUCCUGACUGACCGAUAGUGAACCAGUACCGUGAGGGAAAGGCGAAAAGAACCCCGGCGAGGGGAGUGAAAAAGAACCUGAAACCGUGUACGUACAAGCAGUGGGAGCACGCUUAGGCGUGUGACUGCGUACCUUUUGUAUAAUGGGUCAGCGACUUAUAUUCUGUAGCAAGGUUAACCGAAUAGGGGAGCCGAAGGGAAACCGAGUCUUAACUGGGCGUUAAGUUGCAGGGUAUAGACCCGAAACCCGGUGAUCUAGCCAUGGGCAGGUUGAAGGUUGGGUAACACUAACUGGAGGACCGAACCGACUAAUGUUGAAAAAUUAGCGGAUGACUUGUGGCUGGGGGUGAAAGGCCAAUCAAACCGGGAGAUAGCUGGUUCUCCCCGAAAGCUAUUUAGGUAGCGCCUCGUGAAUUCAUCUCCGGGGGUAGAGCACUGUUUCGGCAAGGGGGUCAUCCCGACUUACCAACCCGAUGCAAACUGCGAAUACCGGAGAAUGUUAUCACGGGAGACACACGGCGGGUGCUAACGUCCGUCGUGAAGAGGGAAACAACCCAGACCGCCAGCUAAGGUCCCAAAGUCAUGGUUAAGUGGGAAACGAUGUGGGAAGGCCCAGACAGCCAGGAUGUUGGCUUAGAAGCAGCCAUCAUUUAAAGAAAGCGUAAUAGCUCACUGGUCGAGUCGGCCUGCGCGGAAGAUGUAACGGGGCUAAACCAUGCACCGAAGCUGCGGCAGCGACGCUUAUGCGUUGUUGGGUAGGGGAGCGUUCUGUAAGCCUGCGAAGGUGUGCUGUGAGGCAUGCUGGAGGUAUCAGAAGUGCGAAUGCUGACAUAAGUAACGAUAAAGCGGGUGAAAAGCCCGCUCGCCGGAAGACCAAGGGUUCCUGUCCAACGUUAAUCGGGGCAGGGUGAGUCGACCCCUAAGACGAGGCCGAAAGGCGUAGUCGAUGGGAAACAGGUUAAUAUUCCUGUACUUGGUGUUACUGCGAAGGGGGGACGGAGAAGGCUAUGUUGGCCGGGCGACGGUUGUCCCGGUUUAAGCGUGUAGGCUGGUUUUCCAGGCAAAUCCGGAAAAUCAAGGCUGAGGCGUGAUGACGAGGCACUACGGUGCUGAAGCAACAAAUGCCCUGCUUCCAGGAAAAGCCUCUAAGCAUCAGGUAACAUCAAAUCGUACCCCAAACCGACACAGGUGGUCAGGUAGAGAAUACCAAGGCGCUUGAGAGAACUCGGGUGAAGGAACUAGGCAAAAUGGUGCCGUAACUUCGGGAGAAGGCACGCUGAUAUGUAGGUGAAGUCCCUUGCGGAUGGAGCUGAAAUCAGUCGAAGAUACCAGCUGGCUGCAACUGUUUAUUAAAAACACAGCACUGUGCAAACACGAAAGUGGACGUAUACGGUGUGACGCCUGCCCGGUGCCGGAAGGUUAAUUGAUGGGGUCAGCGCAAGCGAAGCUCUUGAUCGAAGCCCCGGUAAACGGCGGCCGUAACUAUAACGGUCCUAAGGUAGCGAAAUUCCUUGUCGGGUAAGUUCCGACCUGCACGAAUGGCGUAAUGAUGGCCAGGCUGUCUCCACCCGAGACUCAGUGAAAUUGAACUCGCUGUGAAGAUGCAGUGUACCCGCGGCAAGACGGAAAGACCCCGUGAACCUUUACUAUAGCUUGACACUGAACAUUGAGCCUUGAUGUGUAGGAUAGGUGGGAGGCUUUGAAGUGUGGACGCCAGUCUGCAUGGAGCCGGCCUUGAAAUACCACCCUUUAAUGUUUGAUGUUCUAACGUGGACCCGUGAUCCGGGUUGCGGACAGUGUCUGGUGGGUAGUUUGACUGGGGCGGUCUCCUCCUAAAGAGUAACGGAGGAGCACGAAGGUUGGCUAAUCCUGGUCGGACAUCAGGAGGUUAGUGCAAUGGCAUAAGCCAGCUUGACUGCGAGCGUGACGGCGCGAGCAGGUGCGAAAGCAGGUCAUAGUGAUCCGGUGGUUCUGAAUGGAAGGGCCAUCGCUCAACGGAUAAAAGGUACUCCGGGGAUAACAGGCUGAUACCGCCCAAGAGUUCAUAUCGACGGCGGUGUUUGGCACCUCGAUGUCGGCUCAUCACAUCCUGGGGCUGAAGUAGGUCCCAAGGGUAUGGCUGUUCGCCAUUUAAAGUGGUACGCGAGCUGGGUUUAGAACGUCGUGAGACAGUUCGGUCCCUAUCUGCCGUGGGCGCUGGAGAACUGAGGGGGGCUGCUCCUAGUACGAGAGGACCGGAGUGGACGCAUCACUGGUGUUCGGGUUGUCAUGCCAAUGGCACUGCCCGGUAGCUAAAUGCGGAAGAGAUAAGUGCUGAAAGCAUCUAAGCACGAAACUUGCCCCGAGAUGAGUUCUCCCUGACCCUUUAAGGGUCCUGAAGGAACGUUGAAGACGACGACGUUGAUAGGCCGGGUGUGUAAGCGCAGCGAUGCGUUGAGCUAACCGGUACUAAUGAACCGUGAGGCUUAACCUU